GACGUAGGUGGCGAACGUUAUCCGGAAUUAUUGGGCGUAAAGGGUGCGUAGGCGGCAUGAUAAGUUAUUGGCGGUAAAUCGAGGCUCAACCUCGUGGAAACUGAUAAUACUGUUUUGCUUGAGUACAGGAGAGGUUAACGGAAUUCCAUGUGGAGCGGUAAAAUGUGUAGAUAUAUGGAAGAACACCAAUAACGGCGAAGGCAGUUAACUAUUCUGUUACUGAACGCUGGAGGCAACGAAAGCGUGGGGAGCAAAACGG
rnacentral:rRNA from 1 species